rnacentral:tRNA from 1 species
GGGCAUGUGGCUUAGUGGUAGGGCAUCAGCCUAGCAAGCAGAAGAUCCUGGGUUCAAACCCUAACACUACCCA